UUGUUUUUCCUGCAGCGACGUCAGUGAGAACAGUCAUGCUACAGCCGAGAGCAAGUUAAUGCUGAUAAUCAGCUAAAGAGUGGAUAGAACGUUAUUUUGUUUCGCGUUAUUGGUUCUGAAAGGUAUCCGCACCGAGGAGGACGUGUUUUGGGCUGCACGACAUCGUCAUUUUAUCGUGUUUUGUCGAGAGAAAACUCCGAUUUUUCUAAUUCUGUUGUUUUUUUCUGUUUUACGGACGAGUGGUGAAAUAUAAACCUCCACUAACUCAUAACCAGGUUAGAGAUCACCCAGAUCUAUCAUCACUAACCCACUCACUGAUUCCUCCGACACUCCUCGUUCUCUCCGUCUUCUGUGAGGUUGGCGUGACGUUGUGGAUCCGUGGAUGAAAGCUCAGAUUAUCAGCGCGGCCAGAUUAAAACACCUGAGGAGAGAAGGAGAGGUCAGAUCUCACACAUGAAUCAAACCUGAUGUUAUAUUCAGAUAAAGGCUCGUGUUCCACUCUCUUCUCCUCACAUGUUUACUUCUGUAAAAGUAGGUUUGAUAAAAUAACAUUAAAAACAUGAGACUCAUGAAAAGGAGUUGAACGAGUUAAAAUGGAGACGUUUGGUAACUUCCUGUUUCUUUGUUUUUAUCAGCCAAACUUUAUUUAUACGACGCAAACAGUACAGGAA